UACAGAGGGGGCAAGCGUUGUUCGGAAUUACUGGGCGUAAAGGGCGCGUAGGCGGCCCGCUAAGUCGAACGUGAAAUCCCCGAGCUCAACUCGGGAACUGCGUCCGAUACUGGCGGGCUUGAAUCCGGGAGAGGGAUGCGGAAUUCCAGGUGUAGCGGUGAAAUGCGUAGAUAUCCGGAGGAACACCGGUGGCGAAGGCGGCUCACUGGUCCGGUACUGACGCUGAGGUGCGAAAGCGUGGGGAGCAAACAGG
rnacentral:rRNA from 1 species